rnacentral:rRNA from 1 species
UACAGAGGGUGCGAGCGUUGUUCGGAAUUACUGGGCGUGAAGCGUUUGUAGGCGGUGCUGAGAGUCCUAGGUGAAAUCCCCGAGAUCAACCCGGGAACUGCCUAGGAGACCUCAGUACUAGAGUACUGAAGGGGUUGCUGGAAUUCCAUGUGUAGCGGUGAAAUGCGUAGAUAUAUGGAGGAACACCUGUGGCGAAGGCGGGCAACUGGUCAGAGACUGACGCUGUGAAACGAAAGCGUGGGGAGCAAACAGG